GAAGCACCGGCUAACUCCGUGCCAGCAGCCGCGGUAAUACGGAGGGUGCAAGCGUUAAUCGGAAUUACUGGGCGUAAAGCGCACGCAGGCGGUCUGUCAAGUCGGAUGUGAAAUCCCCGGGCUCAACCUGGGAACUGCAUUCGAAACUGGCAGGCUAGAGUCUUGUAGAGGGGGGUAGAAUUCCAGGUGUAGCGGUGAAAUGCGUAGAGAUCUGGAGGAAUACCGGUGGCGAAGGCGGCCCCCUGGACAAAGACUGACGCUCAGGUGCGAAAGCGUGGGGAGCAAACAGGAUUAGAUA
rnacentral:rRNA from 1 species